rnacentral:rRNA from 1 species
UACGUAGGGCGCAAGCGUUGUCCGGAAUUAUUGGGCGUAAAGAGCUCGUAGGCGGCCUGUUGCGUCCGCUGUGAAAUCCCGGGGCUCAACCCCGGGCCUGCAGUGGAUACGGGCUGGCUAGAGGCAGGCAGGGGAGAACGGAAUUCCUGGUGUAGCGGUGAAAUGCGCAGAUAUCAGGAGGAACACCGGUGGCGAAGGCGGUUCUCUAGUACGGUACUGACGCUGAGACGCGAAAGCGUGGGGAGCGAACAGG